AUUGAACGCUGGCGGCAGGCCUAACACAUGCAAGUCGAACGGUAACAGGAAGACGCUUGCUUCUUUGCUGACGAGUGGCGGACGGGUGAGUAAUGUCUGGGAAACUGCCUGAUGGAGGGGGAUAACUACUGGAAACGGUAGCUAAUACCGCAUAACGUCGCAAGACCAAAGAGGGGGACCUUCGGGCCUCUUGCCAUAGGAUGUGCCCAGAUGGGAUUAGCUAGUAGGUGGGGUAACGGCUCACCUAGGCGACGUUCCCUAGCUGGUCUGAGAGGAUGACCAGCCACACUGGAACUGAGACACGGUCCAGACUCCUACGGGAGGCAGCAGUGGGGAAUAUUGCACAAUGGGCGCAAGCCUGAUGCAGCCAUGCCGCGUGUAUGAAGAAGGCCUUCGGGUUGUAAAGUACUUUCAGCGGGGAGGAAGGGAGUAAAGUUAAUACCUUUACUCAUUGACGUUACCCGCAGAAGAAGCACCGGCUAACUCCGUG
rnacentral:rRNA from 1 species